CCCAAUGGAUUUGUACUUUUGUUUGACAUUAUUUGUUUUAUUUAAAGUCAGGCCUUUCACCAUCCCGCGUGGGCGAACUAAAGUAAAUGCGGGUAAUGAAUGUUCCCUGGCCAUCUAAACUUGCUCACUGAACUCUAUCUGACCUCUAACCACUGAACUCAGGAAGUGAAGAGAUUUGGAUAGUGAGGGAUACAUGCACCUACUUGACAGUUCUCGAAGGGUGAAAUGCCUUCAUACAUGCAAAGUAGGUAGAACAGUGCUUGGAACAUAAUAAGAAGUAUAUAAAUAUUAAUUAUUCAAGUCAUUCUGAAUGCACAUUGUAAAAUAACCAUUUGCUAUGGGGAAGCAGCUAAGACUUGUUCUAUUAAUAAGCAAGCUCUACCCUACUAUGAGAGGGAAGAGAAGGGCCUUAGGAAAUUUUUUUUUUUUUUUGAGAGGGAGAAAAGAAUCAACAGAGGAACACUGGCACAAAGAAACCGACAGAGAAAAACCUUAAAAAACUGAAUUUUGGAGACGAUUUUGAUUUUUUGGUAUGGAGGUUUUUACAUUACCCCACUCCCACCCCCUACUCACCCCUACGCUGUUUCUGCUGCUGCCUUUGUGGACAGAAGAAGAAGUAUGAGAGGUGAUCAAGUUUAGAUGGCUACAGUGGAGAUGAAAAUCAGGUCCCCAUGGACAGUAAAGUCACUAACUCUGAAGGGAAAAAGACUAAGGUUAAUCUAACAUUGUCACAAUUUGAUUUUCCUACUCAGGAUUUUCCUAUUAGGAUAAGGUAAACAUAAGAGAUUCACGUAACAAUAGUUCUAGAAGGUCGUCUAGUCCACUUCUGUCAGUAAAAAUGGGCUCAGUGAGAUGAAGUAUCAUGCCUGGAGUUCCAGCUUAUAAAUCUAGACCCCAGUGUAUCCAGAGCUUUCUACUUUACCCACUGCUUCCCAAUUAAGAAAAAUAAAGAAAUCUAAAUGUUGUGAGACAAAGAACCUCACCUUGUUCUAUAAAAUCAUUUCUAAGAUCCUUUCCAGCUCCCAGAAAUCCUAUUCUCGUCUCUGGGGGCAAGUGCUCUAAGUUCCAAUCCAUGUGUUCAGAAGGUUUAAUUUAACAGUUUUCCUCGCAUUAAAGUGAGGUUGACAUUUAUAUUUCUUAACUGUAAUAAAGAUUUACUUUUGGUCUAUAGAUAAGUAGAAACUUCCUGACCAAGAUGGAGAGCUUUAGACAUUCAAAUUCUUCUGCUCUGAAGGGAAGGGCAUGGACUUAAAAUUGUAUGUUGGUGGUGGGUCAAGUUAGCCAUUGGGCCUCAGUUUCAUUAGCUGUAAAACACUGAUGUCAUUGAACUGUAGUUCUGAUUGAAAAUGUGAAAUUGCGUGGACUGUAAAAUAAUUGAAACCUCAGCAAACCUAGCCACGCUACACAAUGUCCUCUGAUGAUGGAGAACCAAAAUUGCUGGAGAUAAUGGAGCCCUUGGACAGAAAAUGCGACUCGUGCCUUUGCUGGUGUCUUCCCUUUUCCUUUCAGAAGUCCAUUUAUCAAGAUCCUGUUUCUUCAAAUGCCUUUUAAGAGUAAGCAGGAGUGAGAAAUUUAACCUCUGCUUCUCUGAAUUUGAGGACGUGAUGCUGAGGCAAUGCUUUGAUUUUGAACUUUCUGUCCUAAAAGGCAAUUUGUUUUUUGAAAUUCAAUUCUGUAGGUAAGUGGGGAAAGAGUGUGAUAAACUCCAAAUUUCCCAAGUUGAGAAAAAAAAGAGCAGACUUGUUCCUUCCUCUAAUGCAAAAGGUCUAAAGAGAUUGAAAUCCUAGCAAUCAAUUGAAAAGAAAUAAGUUGGAGAAAUAGGCUUCACCUGAGGAAAUGAGGGAAUUGCCAUGAAGCUGAGGUUGUGCAUUAAAGUGAUCAUUGAGAUGAUUUAUUUUUUUCCUGUAAUGUAUUUUCUGAAACUUCAAAAGUAUUGAAUAGUUUCAGUGUAGUGUAAGAUAAAUGAUGGAAAAUGAAUGCUUUUAGUAUCAGAUUUUUAUACACCCAUUCUCUCUUUUCUAGAGAAACUGGGGUGCUAAAAGUCUGUUUUUCCUUUUGAUAACUGUUCCUAUGCCAUCGCAAAAAAUGCACAGUAUUCCCAAGAGAGAGUAGACACAAUCCCAGCUCUGCGGGUUAAAAUUCAGUUGACCUAUAUGGAUAAGUCUACGGAAAGUAAACAAAUAGUAUUAUGCCCUGAAAAUAGCGUGGACUUUGGGAGCAGUCUUUGCUCCUCCAGUCUUUGUUAUUUGGACCUUAGUUCAGUUACCAAACAGAGAUCUCCAGUCUUCAGUGUUCACCUGUUAAAAGAUGAUGCUAAUAUCAACUUUCAAGGGUUGUGGCAAGGUUUGAAAGAAGCACUGAGUGUUUAUAUAUUACCUGCCUUGUAAAAAAAAGGUUUAAAGUGCUUUACAAAUGUAAAGAUGCAGUACAAAAUAAGUAAAAAAUAUGUGAGUAAAGUGAAGUAAAGGAAAUUGAUAGGAAAGUAGGAAAUGACCAUGAGCAAAGUCUGUACAGAGUCUAGCCCCUUACCUGAUAUGUGGGGAUCAUGCUUCAACAAUGGUGCUCAGCCAGAGGUGAUUUGGUCCCUCAGGGGACAUUUGGGUUGUCACAUGGAGGGAGGAGAUGCCCUCCACAAUGAAGAAUUAUCUGGCCCAAAAUGGCAAUAGUGCCCAGGUUGAGAAAGCCUGCUCUACCACGUGCAAACUCCCUUACACUUUUUUCCCAGCACCAAAUAAGUGUUAUAGAUUUUGGAGGAAGAAGAGAAUUCUGAGGGCUAAAGUUAUCCCAGAAGCUUCCAGAAAGGGCAGGCAUAUCUUGGAGAUAUCGCAGAUUCAGUUCCAGACCACUGCAAUAAAGCAAAUAUUGCAAUAAAGUGAGUCACAUGAAUUUUUUGGUUUCCCAGUGCAUAUAAGAGUUAUAUUUACACUAUACUAUAGUCUGUUAAGUGUGCAAUAGUGUUAUGUCUAAAAAAUGUACAUACCUUUAUUAAAAGAUACUUUAUGGAUAAGAAAUGCUAAUCUUCAUCUGGACCUUCAGCAAGUCAUAAUCUUUUGCUGGUGGAAAGUCUUGCGUCAGUGUUGAUGGCUGUUACUGAUGAGGGUGGUGGUUGCUGAAGAUUGGGAUGGCUGUACCAAUUUCUUAAAUAAAACAAUGAAGUGUGCUGU
ensembl:lncRNA